CGAUCUGGCUCAGGAUGAACGCUGGCGGCAUGCCUAAGACAUGCAAGUCGUACGAGGUGGCCCAAUGAAAAUGGAGUGCUGCACAAAGUCGGAUUGGAUUCCACCGAGUGGCAAACGGGUGAGUAACACGUGGGUUACCUACCUCUAAGACGGGGAUACCAAUUGGAAACGAUUGUUAAUACCGGAUGUGUUCUACGGAAUAAAGAAGCCCUUAAAGCUUCGCUUAGAGAUGGGCCUGCGUCGCAUUAGCUAGUUGGUAGGGUAAUGGCCUACCAAGGCAACGAUGCGUAGCCGAACUGAGAGGUUAAUCGGCCACAUUGGGGACUGAGACACGGCCCAGACUCCUACGGGAGACAGCAGUUAGGAAUAUUCGUCAAUGGGGGACAACCCUGAACGAGCAAUGCCGCGUGAAGUGAUGAAGGUCCUUUGGAUUAGUAAAACUCUGUUGUUUAAGGAAAAAUUGUACAGAAAGGAAAUGUUCUGUAUUUGAUGGUACUAUUCAAGAAAGCCACGGCUAACUACGUGCCAGCCGCCGC
rnacentral:rRNA from 1 species